UACGGAGGGUGCAAGCGUUAUCCGGAUUCACUGGGUUUAAAGGGAGCGUAGGUGGGUUGGUAAGUCAGUGGUGAAAUCCCCGAGCUUAACUUGGGAACUGCCAUUGAUACUAUCAGUCUUGAAUACUGUGGAGGUUAGCGGAAUAUGUCAUGUAGCGGUGAAAUGCUUAGAUAUGACAUAGAACACCAAUUGCGAAGGCAGCUGGCUACACAAAUAUUGACACUGAGGCUCGAAAGCGUGGGGAU
rnacentral:rRNA from 1 species